rnacentral:rRNA from 1 species
AGAACGAACGCUGGCGGCAUGCCUAACACAUGCAAGUCGAACGAGACCUUCGGGUCUAGUGGCGCACGGGUGCGUAACGCGUGGGAACCUGCCCUUAGGUUCGGAAUAACUCCUCGAAAGGGGUGCUAAUACCGGAUGAUGUCUUCGGACCAAAGAUUUAUCGCCUAUGGAUGGGCCCGCGUUGGAUUAGCUAGUUGGUGAGGUAAAGGCUCACCAAGGCGACGAUCCAUAGCUGGUCUUAGAGGAUGAUCAGCCACACUGGGACUGAGACACGGCCCAGACUCCUACGGGAGGCAGCAGUGGGGAAUAUUGGACAAUGGGCGAAAGCCUGAUCCAGCAAUGCCGCGUGAGUGAUGAAGGCCUUAGGUUAGUAAAGCUCGUUUUACCCGGGAUGAUAAUGACAGUACCGGAGAAGUAAGCCCCGGCUAACUCCGUGCCAGCAGCCGCA